GCCAUGACAACCCACUCAGGAAAGUACCUAGGUGCCAGACUUAGAUGUUUUUUUUUUUUCUUUUUGGGUCCCAGAGGAGUACCAGAGUGAGUUCAUAAUUCUUUUAUUGCUACCUGGAGAGAAGCCUUUCCCACUCAGUGUUGCAUCCAAUGGCAGAUCAACACUCUUGGAAUGGUGCUCUGGCUUUCCUUGCAGUAAAUUUGGAGUUUGGAGAAAACCCUCUGAAGAGCUAAAGGAUCUCUUGCCCGGGAAGAGGUACUCAAAGGAAGAGCAUUAUUGAACUGCACUGUUUUCUCCUGUCUGAAGCUAACCCCAGCAUGCCUAGUAGGACAACUGUAUGCUAAUAUGCACCUCUUGGAACUUCUAUGCUCUGAUAAUGCAACCAACACAGGAGAAUGGCAGAAGAGCAGAGCUGGAGGCCUUCCCUUCCUUCCAUUUCUGGAGACUCAAUUUAUGUUUACUGGAAAUUCCAGUUGAGAAUAGUGCAUAUAUUGAAGAAAUGGCUGAGAUGGAUUUUAAUAUUUCCAGAGCACGAAGCAGAAGACUGACUCUGAAUCAUUCAAGUAAAACUGGGAAACCCUUCUUUACAAGUCUUUUGGUGGAUGAUCCCAGAAGAGAUGGAGGAGUGGGCUAUUAGGGAAAUGAGCUGAACUGAAGCCUGGCAUCAAUUUCGAAUUUACCCAAGUUCAAAUAACAUUUAGGUUGAAAGCUCAGUGAAAACACUGGUGAAUUGAAGCAACAAAGAGCAUAGGAGUUUAUUAUCAAAUAAAGAAUUCUACAACAGAAAAGGAAGUAUAGAU
rnacentral:lncRNA from 1 species